AUAAACAUGAUCAAUCAACAAGAAAAUGUAGACCUAGCUUUACAAUUCUUUGACCAUGCUGCGAAAUAUCACCCCAAUUUCUUUCAUAAUCCUGAUACUUAUCAUAUGAUCAUAGAGAAAUUAGCCAUGGCUAGGGAUUUGAAUUCCAUGGAAAUUAUACUCAAAGAGCUAAAGGAUUCCAGAAUUUCAGUGAAAUAGCAUUCAUAGAUAUUAUUCCAAACUAUGGCUUUGCAAACAAGCCCAAGUUGGCCCUUCAGUCCUUUUUCAGGAUGAAUGAGUUUAGGAUAAACUAGUCAGGUCUUUUAAUACUCUUUUGAAUGCAAUGAUUCAGAUCUUUUAAUACUCUUUUGAAUGCAAUGAGUCAGACCAAAAGUCAUGAUUUGGUUAAUUAUAUGUAAUGUAUAGGAAUUGCAGGAAAUUUGGGAUAUUUGCAAUUGUUUUUACUUGCAAUAUUCUAAUUAAGGCCUUGUGUUAAACGAACGAUUUGAAAUCAUCUUUCUAGGUUUUGGAGGAGAUGCUAAGCUUGGGUUUUUUUUUUUCCAAAUACUAUGACUCUAUAAGCUGUGACUUACAAUUAUGAGUGGAUUUUGUGGAGUAAAAAAGAUUUUUGGAUGAGAUUAUAAGCAAAGUUUGGGUCCCUGACCGUUCAACUUACACAAUCAUAAUUGACGGUUUAGGGAAAUUAAUGGAGGUUGUUAAGCUCAUAGUGACAUGGAGGACAAUUGAGUUCUUCCAAAUGAUGUCACGUAUGGUGUAGUUAUUAAAUCUUACCAUAAAGAGGGGCAACCAAGCAAGGCUUUAAGCCUUUUUUAAUGAAAUGCUUGAGAAGAAGUUUAUACCAUGCCCAACCCUGUGUUUCAAAUUUUUUUAUCUUUUAUGUCAAGAAGGCUAGGUUGAUCAGGCUUGUAAGCUAUGGAAGAAGCUCUUAAAGAGGAACUGCAUCCCGAUAAUGCUAUAUAUAGUACACUCAUAUAUUGGCUUUAUAAAGGUGGUAAACUUAGAGCGGCGAGGAAGCUUUUUGAUGAGUUUGAGAAAGGGUUUUAUCCAAGGACAUUGACAUAUAAUAGAAUGGGGAGUUGUGAGAGGCAGGGACAUUAUGGGAUGAUAUGCUCAGCAAAGCGUGUGUUACUAAGGUUUUUCACUUACAAUAGAUUGAUCAAAGGGUUUUCUAGCACUAGAAGGGCAAGUGAAGGUUUUAGCAUAUUUGGAGGAAAUGCUAAUUAAGGGUGCGAAGCCAAUAAGUCCACUAAUGCCCAACAAAGUGUGCUCCCAUGAUGGGGUUACACUGUUUAGGACCAUAGAGGCUGGUAUGUGGUCUGGGAUUGUAUGUGUCUUUUACGAGGACAUUCAUUUUUAUUAACAUUCUCGGUAACCAAGUCUAUUUCUUUCACCCUUCAAGAAUUGUACUUUUCUAGUCGGAGUUGAACUUGGGUCGUAGAGUUAAUCUCAUAUUUGUCAGGCAAGGCACCCAUCAUAUUUUCAGCGAUGUAGUCCGCUACAACUCCAAUCAAAUUGCCUUCCAUGAAGCUUGACAUUAUUGCCCUCCAAUGUCAUUGUCAUGCGUGCGUGCUGCUUAUGGUGCCAUGCAGAGGCUUUUAGGCACUCGCCUUUACAAGCCACCAUCUCAUUGCACAAUAGGGUCUUGGUUUCCUCUUGUUCCGCUUUGCUCAAUAGAGUCUUGGUUUCCUCCUGGCUCAGCAUCCACCACCUUGGAUCCUCUUCGGCUGAGCGUAUUACAAGGACUAUACACAUUUGCCACCCUGGAUCCUACAAGUCAAUGCCUUUUCACAUGCCAAGGCGAGACUCAAGAGUGAUGCAGCCCCCUAUGUCCUAGAUAGAAUCAGCUCCAACCAGCUCUAGUGGCUUGUUUCAUCCAAGUAAAGCCCUACUCUAAUGGCCUUUUCAUCCAAUUAGAGUACACCUUCCAUGAUGAUCUUUUUCUUCCAAGUAGCGCAUAUCACAUGGCCUCUUUUAUCCAUAGAGCCUUCCUCACACAACAUCUUUCACCCAUGAAUGUGGCACCUAUUACUCUAAUUGUUGCUUUCACUCAAUUAGAACCACACUCCCAGGAGUGCAAAAAUAUGAGUACCUAAACACAUAUGAAUAUGAGUGCGGAAAUAAAAAAACCCAAGCAGCAAGGCUUUUAAAAGCGAUUUAUUGGGCUUCCGAUGCACUCAUGCCAUACGAAUUACAAUAUUCUUCAUAUUACAUGUACAUGUUUGACCUUUGCCCUGAUAGAACUUUUGUAAUACUUUAUAUUUUGUAUCUAGUUUUUUUUGUGCUUCUUCUACUUGGAAUAUUGGAUUUCUGUUCUUUUCCUAUAUUUUAAUGGAAACUGCUAAAUGCCUUCUUUCUGUUGAAAAUGCAAUUAGUGGAAUACUAAUGCAAGCAUCUAAUGGGGGGGGAGCCUUCAUUUGAUCACUUUUAGUAUCAGAAUGUUGGUCUACUUUUUGGGCAUUAUGUUGUAGAUUUGGUGCAGUUAUUUUUUGUGCAUGGUUCUUUGAUACUUCAAACAUGAAGAAAACACACACUUUACUCAUUUAAAAAACGGAUCAGAAAGGGAAAAAAAAGACAAAACUAUAAAUCAUGACCAAAUAUCUUGUUAAUGCUCUUGGAAUGACUGCUUCAAAUAGACACAAGUAUAACUUGAACUUUUCAUUAAUAUUAACUAAUGGCUUUUCAUAUCUCACUGGGCUUGCAGGACCUCACCUUUUUGUGCAGCAGCUCAAGUGAUUUUGAAAUUUUGGAUCAUGAAAUAAUGCAUCAAAUUUUACGGUGAAGAUGGAAGAUUGGGUAAUCACAUUGACAAAGUUGGGGAAAUUUUUUUUGGGAUUGGCAUCUAAAAGCUGCACGAGUACCUGAAUUCUCAUUCUAGAGCAAUCCUUUCAGGAGAGGUGCAACUAUGUAGUGGAAGACCCUAAAUAGCCUCACUAUUCUUCAAGCUACCAUUAAUCCAUUCCAGGAUAUAUACAACAGAUACAAGAACCAGAUUGUAAAGGAUCAAAGGUAUUUGUAUACUAAAGAAUAGGGGAUUACUCAUGUAAGAUUUCCAUUGGCAAAGAUGAUGACAGCAUGUUGCAAAGGCUGCAAUUGUCUCCUGGUCCAUUAUGUUGCUGAGUGUGGCAGCACCUUAAGUUAAUUAUUGGAUGACAAACUGAAUUUGCCAACCUGUGGCAGGACCACAUAAAUGUUUCUCAAUUGCAAGGUAAGAAACAUCCCCUGAAGUCUACACAUUAUUCAAGUCCAAAUCAUCAACUGCAAUAGUUAAAUUAGACAUUAGAUGCGCAAGGGGGUGUAAAUUGACAGUAUUCAAUAAAUACAUCUAUACAUGUAAUGUUAAAUAUUGUCUGCUUAUCAUGUUAAAUGUGUUAGAAAACCAAAUGAGCUCCCAUUGAAGAUAGCCUUCAUUAGUUUAAUAGUGAUUAUGUAUGGAACUCAAGGCCCCUGCAAGGUCCCUUGAGCACUGGGCCCUCUAGCACUUUUACAACACAAUUGUUUAAUGAACUUUCAUCAUGCAAGAGCAAUUUGAGGGUGGACCAAUGCAACCCAUGGAAAAAGCAUUCUACCAUUACUGACCUGGUUAUAGUAUAAAAACUCGACAUUCCUCUUAACUUGAUGGUGAAGCACUUCAACAGAUUGCUAAAAAGAAGGGUCCAUAGCUAAUGGAUUAUGGAUGAUUGCAGUACUUCAUGAACCCACAUCUUGAAAGGGAGCCAUGUCUCAGCAGUUGGAGCUCACUGCAAAAUAAAUUCUUUCACCUUUGUAUAUGAUAUUCCAUCAUUUCACAGAGACAAUCAGCUUUCUAUCAUCUUCCCAGUGGCACCUGACCAAGUCUCAGAUGCAAACAAAGUUCUCUUUAGGCAUGUUGUUUGAUCCGAGGUUUAGAAUGGAACUGUCCAAUGAUGAAAUCCGAGACCUGAUAAUCCUGCUUUAACCCCUAAAUCCAAUUUCCUUCCUCACCAUGGUAGGGACAAGAUGGUGUAGGAGCCAGCUAAAUCAAGGUUCUUUUUGGCGGAACAACUUUCUAUGAGCAGCUUUGGCCAAGUGAUCUUCCCCUGCCAUUGCCAGCGAGACAUGUGAAAUGGAUUGCUUGAGCAAUGUAGCUGCAAUGCGUGAUAUAGUUUUUCAAGUGGAUUUCCUGGCUCGAAUGCUCUUAUUCCACCUGGUGCUAGCUUUGGUUAUCAUCUUAGAGGUUGGGGCAAGCCUCUUGUUGAUGAAUUCGGAUGCCCACUAUAUGGGGACGUUUUUGGUGUCCAACAACAAGAACAACCUAAUUAUGAGAACUUGUUGAUAACAAGCAUUGGGAUGACUUGGAGGAAGAGGAGGAACAGAUGGAAGAAGAGGAAUUGGAGGCCAGUAUUCAAUCAGUUGCCAGCCUCCCUCCCUCUCUCUCUCUCUCUCUCAAAGGAAGCUCAAGAUGUAGGAAAAAGGAAGGGAAUGCAAAGAAGAAGGAUUUCAAGUUUUAGGAAUUGUAAGGCAUAAAGAGAGGCUUUUUGGCUAAGAAGGCAAGGAAAGUCUGAUGAGGCAGAUGAAGAGUUGAAGAAAGGUAAGGUUUUGGAGGCUGAGAUGGAGGAAAUAGACUUCCCAGGAAACUCAAGUUCUGGGGAAGAAAACUCUAGCCUUGAGAGAGCUAAUCUGAAAGGAAAAAGAAAAGAUGAAAGCACAGAAAAUGAAAGCUCUCAAUUUGAAAAGAGCAAGGAGACAAGCUGAAGCAUUGGAAGCACUCUGUUGGGUGAAGCAGUUUGAGAAGAGACUGAAUCAGUUAUCAUCAUAACCUCAUGAUAUACAUAUACAUUAUUUCCAAUUUAUUGUAUAGGACCUAACAAUAUUCAUAGGAUGCAAUUUACUCUAUUUAUGGUUUCAUGUGAAUGAGCACAAAGAGCGCUGAGAGAUGAGCAUUGGUUUCUUUUUGGAGGAUGUGUAAUUUCAUUCGCAUUGAGCUCAGCCAAUAACCCCAAACUCAUCUUCUGAUAUUCAUAAACACUCCAUUCCCACAUAGGAAGGAAACCCAUGUUACUACAUGCAUGUUCCUUUUUCUUAUUUACCACUAAUCACAGUUAAAUGCAUCUCAGAUGUAAUUUGAUGGCUGCAUCAUUUUUCUUUUUCAUUUGACUUUCUGGAAUUAGUAUGUAACUUUUCAUUAUUUAACUUUGUAAACUUUUUUGUUAUCUAA